rnacentral:rRNA from 1 species
CCCAUAGCGUAUAUUACAGUUGUUGCAGUUAAAAAGCUCGUAGUUGAAUUUCGGCAUUCUUUUAUCGGUUGAAUCAACAGGUUCGUACUGAUUUUAAGAAUUUCUACCUUCUGGAGAACCUUAAUGUCAUUUAUUUGAUGUUUUGGGAAACCAGGACUGUUACCUUGAAAAAAUUAGAGUGUUUAAAGCAGGCUUAUGUCUGAAUAUAUUAGCAUGGAAUAAUGAAAUAGGACGGCAUGGUUCUAUUUUGUUGGUUUCUAGGAUCACCGUAAUGAUUAAUAGGGAUAGUUGGGGGCAUUAGUAUUCAAUUGUCAGAGGUGAAAUUCUUGGAUUUAUUGAAGACUAACUUCUGCGAAAGCAUUUGCCAAGGAUGUUUUCAUUAAUCAAGAACGAAAGUUAGGGGAUCGAAGACGAUCAGAUACCGUCGUAGUCUUAACCAUAAACUAUGCCGACUAGGAAUCGGACGAAGUUAAUUUUUUAAUGACUCGUUCGGCGCCUUACG